CACUAACUACCCCAUCAACUAGCAGAGGGCUUGUCAUGUUAUACAUCACUCUGCAUUUGGUCAAACCUGCCAUUGGAAAUGGGGAAGCAGAAGAUAAGAACCCACUGGGUACAGACAUCAAUCAGUUCAAUGUCUAUUUUGGAUUUAUUUUUGGUUGAGUUGUCAACUAAUGUGAAUUCAACGAGAAUUCACCAUGACAUUGGAUUUAGCUACCUCACAAGAAAUCCAUCUGCCUUGAGGAGGGAGCAAGUCCGUGUCUCCCAAGAGUUCCGUCUGCUCUGACUCUGGUCCCAGUCUCCAGCCCCACGUCUUGUCAGUCCUGCCACUCUGCCUAGAACACCCACUCCACUGCUUCCUUGGAUUCCGCUCCGGACCUACUUACCCAGCCCCAACUCCUCUCGCUCCAGCCUUAGCCUCAGAACCUGGCUUCCUGCAACCCUCCCAAGCUUCCCCAGGCCUGCACUCCAUCUUUCCCCUGCUUUUCAAUAAAUAACCUUGGAUACC